rnacentral:rRNA from 1 species
GACGAACGCUGGCGGCGUGCUUAACACAUGCAAGUCGAACGGAAAGGCCCUGCUUUUGUUGGGUGCUCGAGUGGCGAACGGGUGAGUAACACGUGAGUAACCUGCCCUUGACUUUGGGAUAACUUCAGGAAACUGGGGCUAAUACCGGAUAGGAUCUCCUGCUGCAUGGUGGGGGUUGGAAAGUUUCGGCGGUUGGGGAUGGACUCGCGGCUUAUCAGCUUGUUGGUGGGGUAGUGGCUUACCAAGGCUUUGACGGGUAGCCGGCCUGAGAGGGUGACCGGCCACAAUGGGACUGAGAGACGGCGCAGACUCCUACGGGAGGCAGCAGUGGGGAGUAUUGCACAAUGGGCGGAAGCCUGAUGCAGCAACGCCGCGUGCGGGAUGACGGCUUUCGGGUUGUAAACCACUUUCGCCUGUGCCGAAGCGUGAGUGACGGUAAUGGGUAAAGAAGCACCGGCUAACUACGUG